GAUGAACGCUAGCGAUAGGCCUAACACAUGCAAGUCGAGGGGCAUCACAUGAAGUAGCAAUACGGAUGGUGGCGACCGGCGCACGGGUGAGUAACACGUAUGCAACCUGCCUUCAACAAGGGGAUAACCCGUUGAAAGACGGACUAAUACCCUAUAACACAGGGGUCCCGCAUGGGAAUAUUUGUUAAAGGACAACCGGUUGAAGAUGGGCAUGCGUUCCAUUAGCUAGUUGGCGGGGUAACGGCCCACCAAGGCAACGAUGGAUAGGGGAACUGAGAGGUUUAUCCCCCACACUGGUACUGAGACACGGACCAGACUCCUACGGGAGGCAGCAGUGAGGAAUAUUGGUCAAUGGACGCAAGUCUGAACCAGCCACGUCGCGUGAAGGAAGACGGCCCUACGGGUUGUAAACUUCUUUUAUACGGGAAUAAAGUGCCCCACGCGUGGGGUUUUGCAUGUACCGUAUGAAUAAGGAUCGGCUAACUCCGUGCCAGCAGCCGCGGUAAAUACG
rnacentral:rRNA from 1 species